GAUGAACGCUGGCGGCGUGCCUAAUACAUGCAAGUCGAGCGAACAGACGAGGAGCUUGCUCCUCUGACGUUAGCGGCGGACGGGUGAGUAACACGUGGAUAACCUACCUAUAAGACUGGGAUAACUUCGGGAAACCGGAGCUAAUACCGGAUCAUAUAUUGAACCGCAUGGUUCAAUAGUGAAAGACGGUUUUGCUGUCACUUAUAGAUGGAUCCGCGCCGCAUUAGCUAGUUGGUAAGGUAACGGCUUACCAAGGCAACGGUGCGUAGCCGACCUGAGAGGGUGAUCGGCCACACUGGAACUGGGACACGGUCCAAACUCCUACGGGAGGCAGCAGUAGGGAAUCUUCCGCAAUGGGCGAAAGCCUGACGGAGCAACGCCGCGUGAGUGAUGGAGGUCUUCGGAUCGUAAAACUCUGUUAUGAGGGAAGAACAAAUGUGUAAGUAACUAUGCACGGCUUGACGGUACCUAAUCAGAAAGCCACGGCUAACUACGUG
rnacentral:rRNA from 1 species